rnacentral:misc_RNA from 1 species
GCGGGAUUUUUCGCCCUCGGGCGGACGAUGGAAACCAACCAGCCCUGCGCGGUGAUCACCACCAGUGGCACGGCGGCGGCGGAGCUUCUGCCAUCCGUCAUCGAGGCGCACUAUCAGGGACGGCCGCUGGUCGCGAUCACCGCGGAUCGCCCGGCGGAGUUUCGCGGAACCGGUGCCCCGCAGUCGAUCGAGCAGCCGGGGAUUUUCGGCAAUCACGCAUGGCAGGGGACUUUCGCUGAUUGGGACGGGAAACGGCCGCU